rnacentral:lncRNA from 1 species
CCUGAAGAAGCCCCACAAGUCCAGAAAAGACCCACACAACACUCCCCGGAGCAAACCAAGUUCUUUGACUUUGCAGACGAGAAAGAAAAGGACACUUCUGUCAAAAAUUGUGGCAGAGGUACUCCUCCCCGAGGUUCCAGAACCAGCUGUGCAAGGUGUGCCGGUUCCACCCCACCAGGAAGGAAAGCUACCACAACUUGUUAAAGCUGUCAUCAAUCGAGGUGAGAAAGCAAACAAACCACAUUGGCUGAAGCUCUUAUAUAACCUUCUUUUACCUGUCAUUUUCACAACACAUUCAUCUCACAAGGCCCUGUAACCAUGUUUUGAAAUAGUUUUGCAAACUUGUAAUUCAAUACACAAUUGUAAAAGAUAUACAACACUAAUAAAAAGGCAGUUUGUACAUUUGUUUAAUUAUUUAUUUUAGGACAAUUCUGUAAAAAAAAAAAAAGAGAGAAUGUUUUCACAGUCCAUGUACA